CCUACGGGAGGCAGCAGUAAGGAAUAUUGGUCAAUGGAGGCAACUCUGAACCAGCCAUGCCGCGUGCAGGAAGAAGGCCCUAUGGGUCGUAAACUGCUUUUGUACCAGAGAAAACCCGAGUACGUGUACUCGGUUGAUAGUAUGGUAAGAAUAAGCAUCGGCUAACUUCGUGCCAGCAGCCGCGGUAAGACGAAGGAUGCAAGCGUUAUCCGGAUUCAUUGGGUUUAAAGGGUGCGUAGGCGGACUGAUAAGUCAGUGGUGAAAUCUCUCGGCUUAACCGAGAAACUGCCAUUGAUACUGUUAGUCUAGAGUAUAGAUGACGUUGGCGGAAUAUGACAUGUAGUGGUGAAAUACUUAGAUAUGUCAUAGAACACCGAUUGCGAAGGCAGCUAACGAAACUAUAACUGACGCUGAGGCACGAAAGUGCGGGGAUCAAACAGGAUUAGAUACCCUGGUAGUCCGCACCGUAAACGAUGAUUACUCGUUGUUGGCAAUAUGACCGUCAGCGACCAAGCGAAAGCGAUAAGUAAUCCACCUGGGGAGUACGCCGGCAACGGUGAAACGUCAAAUGAAUUGACGG
rnacentral:rRNA from 1 species